CACGCCGUAAACGAUGAAUGCUAGCCGUUGGAUAGCUUGCUAUUCAGUGGCGCAGCUAACGCAUUAAGCAUUCCGCCUGGGGAGUNCAACGCGCAGAACCUUACCAGGGUUUGACAUCCUGCGACCGCUCCUUAAUAGGAGUUUUCCCGCAAGGGACGCAGAGACAGGUGC
rnacentral:rRNA from 1 species